UACGUAGGGGGCAAGCGUUAUCCGGAAUCACUGGGCGUAAAGGGUGCGUAGGCGGUCGACAAAGUCUGGGGUGAAAGGCUACGGCUCAACCGUAGUAAGCCUUGGAAACUUGUUGACUUGAGUGCAGGAGAGGUAAGUGGAAUUCCUAGUGUAGCGGUGAAAUGCGUAGAUAUUAGGAGGAACACCAGUGGCGAAGGCGACUUACUGGACUGUAACUGACGCUGAGGCACGAAAGCGUGGGGAGCAAACAGG
rnacentral:rRNA from 1 species